rnacentral:rRNA from 1 species
UACGUAGGGUGCGAGCGUUAAUCGGAAUUACUGGGCGUAAAGCGUGCGCAGGCGGUGAUGUAAGACAGGUGUGAAAUCCCCGGGCUUAACCUGGGAACUGCAUUUGUGACUGCAUCGCUGGAGUGCGCAGAGGGGGAUGGAAUUCCGCGUGUAGCAGUGAAAUGCGUAGAUAUGCGGAGGAACACCGAUGGCGAAGGCAAUCCCCUGGGCC